GGAGUCUUACGCAGCUGUUCUUCCUUGCAUUUGUUGAAGGAAGAAUUCCUAGAUACCCUCCUACUCUUCUUCUUCUUAACUCCAACAGCAGAUGUAGGAGAACCCGGAACAGGGGUCCUGCUUUCAUAAGUUAAGCAGGACCCCGUCCGGAGUGCCCGGACUAUAUUCAAUAAACAAUCCAGAGCACCAACACAACCAACCCCUCUAUUCUCCGUAUUCG
rnacentral:misc_RNA from 1 species